rnacentral:rRNA from 1 species
UACGGAGGGUGCAAGCGUUAUCCGGAUUCACUGGGUUUAAAGGGUGCGUAGGUGGGCAGGUAAGUCAGUGGUGAAAUCUCCGAGCUUAACUCGGAAACUGCCGUUGAUACUAUUUGUCUUGAAUAUUGUGGAGGUAAGCGGAAUAUGCCAUGUAGCGGUGAAAUGCUUAGAUAUGACAUAGAACACCAAUUGCGAAGGCAGCUUACUACACAACGAUUGACGCUGAGGCACGAAAGCGUGGGGAUCAAACAGG